ACGCACGCUGGCGGCAUGCCUCACACAUGCCAGUCGAACGAGACCUUCGGGUCUAGUGGCGCACGGGUGCGUCACGCGUGGGAACCUGCCCUUAGGUUCGGAAUAACUCCCCGAAAGGGGUGCUAAUACCGGAUAAUGUCUUCGGACCAAAGAUUUAUCGCCUUUGGAUGGGCCCGCGUUGGAUUAGCUAGUUGGUAGGGUAAAAGCCUACCAAGGCGACGAUCCAUAGCUGGUCUGAGAGGAUGAUCAGCCACACUGGGACUGAGACACGGCCCAGACUCCUACGGGAGGCAGCAGUGGGGAAUAUUGGACAAUGGGCGAAAGCCUGAUCCAGCAAUGCCGCGUGAGUGAUGAAGGCCUUAGGGUUGUAAAGCUCUUUUACCCGGGAUGAUAAUGACAGUACCGGGAGAAUAAGCUCCGGCUAACUCCGUG
rnacentral:rRNA from 1 species